rnacentral:pre_miRNA from 1 species
UCCAUCCGCUAAGUAGUAGUGCCGCAUUUAACGGUUCUACCGCUUGGGUUUAAGUGCACGCUGCUGCUUAACCGAUGGA